ensembl:rRNA 5S_rRNA 5S ribosomal RNA
AUCUACGGUGAUACCACCCUGAUCCUGAAAGCAAAGCAGGGUCAGGUCUGGCCAGUACUUGGAAUGGAGACUGCUUGGGAAUACUGGGUGCUGUAGGCA